rnacentral:rRNA from 1 species
UGGGGGAUAUUGCACAAUGGGCGAAAGCCUGAUGCAGCGACGCCGCGUGGGGGAUGAAGGCCUUCGGGUUGUAAACUUCUUUUGCUCUGAACAAGGCAUGCCUUUGGGGUGUGUUGAGUGUAGGGGUUGAUUAGCGCCGGCUAACUACGUGCCAGCAGCCGCGGUAAUACGUAGGGCGCGAGCGUUGUCCGGAAUUAUUGGGCGUAAAGGGCUUGUAGGUGGCUGGUUGCGUCUGUCGUGAAAGCUCAUGGCUUAACUGUGGGUGUGCGGGGGGUACGGGCUGGCUUGAGUGCAGUAGGGGAGGCUGGAAUUCCUGGUGUAGCGGUGGAAUGCGCAGAUAUCAGGAGGAAUACCGGUGGCGAAGGCGGGUCUCUGGGCUGUUACUGACGCUGAGGAGCGAAAGCGUGGGGAGCGAACAGG